rnacentral:misc_RNA from 1 species
GAUGAAGAACGCAGCGAAAUGCGAUAAGUAAUGUGAAUUGCAGAAUUCAGUGAAUCAUCGAAUCUUUGAACGCAUCUUGCGCUCCUUGGUAUUCCGAGGAGCAUGCCUGUUUGAGUGUCAUUAAAUUCUCAACUCUCUGAAACUAUUUUGUAAAGGAGAGCUUGGAUUGUGGAGGCUUGCUGGCCACUUAUUGGGGGUCAGCUCCUCUGAAAUGCAUUAGCGGAACCGUUUGCGAUCUGCCACAAGUGUGAUAAAUUAUCUACACUGACGAGGGGGAUUGCUCUCUGGGUUGUUCAGCUUCUAAUUGUCCCUGUUUCAGAGACAACUUCUUGAAUGCUUGACCUCAAAUCAGGUAGGACUACCCGCUGAACUUAAGCAUAUCAAUAAGCGGAGGA